UACGUAGGGUGCAAGCGUUAAUCGGAAUUACUGGGCGUAAAGCGUGCGCAGGCGGUUUUGCAAGACAGACGUGAAAUCCCUCGGCUCAACCGGGGAACUGCGUCUGAGACUGAUGAGCUCGAGUGCAGGAGAGGAACGCGGAAUUCCAGGUGUAGCGGUGAAAUGCGUAGAUAUCUGGAGGAACACCGGUGGCGAAGGCGGCGUUCUGGGCUGCAACUGACACUGAGGAACGAAAGCCAGGGGAGCAAACGGG
rnacentral:rRNA from 1 species